rnacentral:rRNA from 1 species
GACGAACGCUGGCGGCGUGCUUAACACAUGCAAGUCGAACGAAGUGGCGAACGGGUGGGUAACGCGUAAUCAACCUGCCCUUCAGAGGGGGACAACAGUUGGAAACGACUGCUAAUCCCGCAUACUGAAGGAGGUGCUUUCGUCUGAUUAGCUAGUGGGUGGGGUAACGGCCCACCAAGGCGAUGAGAAGUAGACGUGCUGAGAGGAUUGUCGGCCAAAUUGGGACUGAUACACGGCCCAGACUCCGACGGGAGGCAGCAGUGGGGAAUCUUCCGCAAUGGACCAAAGUCUGACGGAGCAACGCCGCGGGAGUGAUGACGGCCUUCGGGUUGUAAAGCUCUGUUAAUCGGGACGCGGUACCGGAAUAGAAAGCCACGGCUAACUACGUGCCAGCCACCGCGGUAAUUC